AUUGUGGGCAGGGCCGUGGGAGAGCUGAGCGAGGAGAAGCUGCAGGAAGAGCUCGCGGACUCUUGAGAAUCAGCAGGGGGAGUCUCCCGCAUUGACUUCAUAACCAAGUUCUGGGUCCCUGCCUCUGGAGUGCCUGAUGAGACAAAACGGCUCCUCGUCCUGCAUCCCCGCUGCUACUUCCAGAAUUCAGGCCUCGUGGUCUGGAGCCUGCACUGUUCCAUGAGCCUCCUGAGCAACCUGGAGUCCUCUGUCUUUCUUCCCUCAGUGAGAUGCGCCUACUUCUCCCUGGAGAAGCUCGAGGAAGCAGGAAUGCUGGAGAUGAGAGACCUCGUCUGCUCAGGGGCUUGUUCUUACAUCUUUUGCAGGGCUGUUUUGAAGUCAGUAUUCACUUAAGCACUCCAAAUUACCCAGCACACCCUGCCUGCAUGGCGCUGCGCUGCACCUUCACUCUGGUCACGGGUCUGGCAGUCGGCUCACCAAUUCGUCCUGCUUCCCUGGGACUCGCCGGCUUUUAGCACUGCAAUUCACUCAGCAAACUGGGACUGUUGGUCACCCU
ensembl:lncRNA EOLA1-DT EOLA1 divergent transcript